UUUGGCACUUGGCUCUGAUGCAAAAAACAAGAACAACAACAAAACAAAACAGGAAUGAAUGAGCCAAUGAACUGGUGUGGCACAGAAUUUGAGGAGGUUCUGCUGGACUAGAAAUCCUGGUUCCCAGUGGGACUACCCUUCUACCAAGGAACAUGGUAAGCUUAGAGAAAUCCCUGUCUCUGAUCCAGAAGAACCUCAAAACUCAGAAUGGAGGGAAGAACUUCAUG